GAUGAACGCUGGCGGCAUGCUUAACACAUGCCAGUCGAACGAUGAAGCCCAGCUUGCUGGGUGGGUUAGUGGCGAACGGGUGAGUAACACGUGAGUAACCUGCCCUUAACUCUGGGAUACGCCUGGAAAACUGGGUCUAUUACCGGAUAGGCGCGCCUACCGCAUGGUGGGUGUUGGAAAGAUUUAUCGGUUUUGGAUGGACGGGCGGCCUAUCAGCUUGUUGGUGGGGUAAUGGCUCACCAAGGCGACGACGGGUAGCCGGCCUGAGAGGGUGACCGGCCACAAUGGGACUGAGACACGGACCAGACGCCUACGGGAGGCAGCAGUGGGGAAUAUUGCACAAUGGGCGAAAGCCUGAUGCAGCGACGCCGCGUGAGGGAUGACGGCCUUCGGGUUGUAAACCUCUUUCAGUAGGGAAGAAGCGAAAGUGACGGUACCGGAAGAAGAAGCACCGGCUAACUACGUG
rnacentral:rRNA from 1 species